rnacentral:rRNA from 1 species
AGAAGGCCUUCGGGUUGUAAACUGCUUUUGUCCGGAAAGAAAAGACGCUGUCUAAUACCUANNNCUCNAUGACGGUACCUGAAGAAUAAGCACCGGCUAACUACGUGCCAGCAGCCGCGGUAAUACGUAGGGUGCAAGCGUUAAUCGGAAUUACUGGGCGUAAAGCGUGCGCAGGCGGUUUUGUAAGACUGACGUGAAAUCCCCGGGCUCAACCUGGGAACUGCAUUUGAGACUGCAUAGCUAGAAUCUGGUAGAGGGGGAUGGAAUUCCACGUGUAGCAGUGAAAUGCGUAGAUAUGCGGAGGAACACCGAUGGCGAAGGCAACCCCCUGGACCUGGAUUGACGCUCAUGCACGAAAGCGUGGGGAGCAAACAGGAUUAGAUACCCUGGUAGUCCACGCCCUAAACGAUGUCUACUGNUU